rnacentral:tRNA from 1 species
AAGACCAUAGUCUAAUAUUAUGACAUAUGAGUUGCAUUCAUAAAAUGUUUUUAAAAAAACUGGUUUUA